rnacentral:rRNA from 1 species
AUGAACGCUAGCUACAGGCUUAACACAUGCAAGUCGAGGGGCAGCAUGGUCUUAGCUUGCUAAGGCCGAUGGCGACCGGCGCACGGGUGAGUAACACGUAUCCAACCUGCCGUCUACUCUUGGACAGCCUUCUGAAAGGAAGAUUAAUACAAGAUGGCAUCAUGAGUCCGCAUGUUCACAUGAUUAAAGGUAUUCCGGUAGACGAUGGGGAUGCGUUCCAUUAGAUAGUAGGCGGGGUAACGGCCCACCUAGUCUUCGAUGGAUAGGGGUUCUGAGAGGAAGGUCCCCCACAUUGGAACUGAGACACGGUCCAAACUCCUACGGGAGGCAGCAGUGAGGAAUAUUGGUCAAUGGGCGAGAGCCUGAACCAGCCAAGUAGCGUGAAGGAUGACUGCCCUAUGGGUUGUAAACUUCUUUUAUAAAGGAAUAAAGUCGGGUAUGCAUACCCGUUUGCAUGUACUUUAUGAAUAAGGAUCGGCUAACUCCGUGCCAGCAGCCGCGGUAAUACGGAGGAUCCGAGCGUUAUCCGGAUUUAUUGGGUUUAAAGGGAGCGUAGAUGGAUGUUUAAGUCAGUUGUGAAAGUUUGCGGCUCAACCGUAAAAUUGCAGUUGAUACUGGAUAUCUUGAGUGCAGUUGAGGCAGGCGGAAUUCGUGGUGUAGCGGUGAAAUGCUUAGAUAUCACGAAGAACUCCGAUUGCGAAGGCAGCCUGCUAAGCUGCAACUGACAUUGAGGCUCGAAAGUGUGGGUAUCAAACAGGAUUAGAUACCCUGGUAGUCCACACGGUAAACGAUGAAUACUCGCUGUUUGCGAUAUACAGCAAGCGGCCAAGCGAAAGCGUUAAGUAUUCCACCUGGGGAGUACGCCGGCAACGGUGAAACUCAAAGGAAUUGACGGGGGCCCACACAAGCGGUGGAGCAUGUGGUUUAAUUCGAAGCAACGCGAAGAACCUUACCAGGUCUUGACAUACUCAUAAAGGCUCCAGAGAUGGAGAGAUAGGUAUAUGGGAUACAGGUGGUGCAUGGUUGUCGUCAGCUCGUGUCGUGAGAUGUUGGGUUAAGUCCCGCAACGAGCGCAACCCUUGUGAUAUGUUACUAACAUUGAGUUGAGGACUCAUAUCAGACUGCCGGUGAUAAACCGGAGGAAGGUGGGGAUGACGUCAAAUCAUCAUGCCCCUUAUGGCCUGGGCUACACACGUACUACAAUGGCGUCUACAAAGAGCGGCAAGCCUGUGAAGGCGAGCGAAUCUCAUAAAGGACGUCUCAGUUCGGAUUGAAGUCUGCAACCCGACUUCAUGAAGCUGGAAUCGCUAGUAAUCGCGAAUCAGCAUGUCGCGGUGAAUACGUUCUCGGGCCUUGUACACACCGCCCGUCACACCAUGAGAGUUGAUAACACCCGAAGCCGGUGGCCUAACCGCAAGGAGGGAGCUGUCUAAGGUGGGAUUGAUGAUUGGGGUG